GAUGAAGAACGUAGCGAAAUGCGAUAAGUAAUGCGAAUUGCAGAAUUCAGUGAGUCAUCGAAUCUUUGAGCGCACAUUGCGCCCUGUGGUAUUCCGCAGGGCAUGCCUGUUCGAGCGUCAUUUCAACCCUCAAGCCCCGCUUGGUGUUGGGCCCCGCCCGCUGUGGCCGGCCCUAAAGACAGUGGCGGCGCCGCCUGGCCCUCAGCGUAGUACAUCUCUCGCUCCAGGGUCCGGUGGCCGCCUGCCAGAACCCCCCAACUCUGUGGUUGACCUCGGAUCAGGUAGGGAUACCCGCUGAACUUAAGCAUAUCAAUAAGCGGAGGA
rnacentral:misc_RNA from 1 species